GCCCAGAUGGUGGAAUUGGUAGACACGCAGUCUUGAGGGGGCUGUACUCUUUGAGUGUAUGGGUUCAAAUCCCAUUUUGGGCACAA
rnacentral:tRNA from 1 species